CGGAAGGUCCGGCGUUAUCCGGAUUAUUGGGUUAAGGGAGCGUAGGCCGCCAGGUAAGCGUGUUGUGAAAUGUACCGGCUCAACCGGUGAAUUGCAGCGCGAACUGUCUGGCUUGAGUGCACGGUAAGCAGGCGGAAUUCAUGGUGUAGCGGUGAAAUGCUUAGAUAUCAUGAAGAACUCCGAUUGCGAAGGCAGCUUGCUGCAGUGCGACUGACGCUGAUGCUCGAAGGUGCGGGUAUCAAACAGGAUU
rnacentral:rRNA from 1 species